GAGAUACGCGCACACACACACACAAACGCACUCAGAUUUCCCGGACCCUGGUUUUCCUCCUGUGACCCUUUCGGGGCCGGGCUCUCACCCUAAAGAAGCAGCCCCGCCCUGGGGUGGCCCCACCCUCUCUUGGGACCUGUCAUAAGUCGGACCCCGGGCGCCCGGCUGCGCAGUCCCAGCCGCCUUCCCCAGGCAGUGGAACCUUCGGGCUCCUGAGCUUCAGGAUGGUUCGUACUAAGACAUGGACCCUGAAGAAGCACUUUGUUGGCUAUCCUACUAAUAGUGACUUUGAGUUGAAGACAGCUGAGCUCCCACCCUUAAAAAAUGGAGAGGUCCUGCUUGAAGCUUUGUUCCUCACCGUGGAUCCCUACAUGAGAGUGGCAGCCAAAAGAUUGAAGGAAGGUGAUACAAUGAUGGGGCAGCAAGUGGCCAAGUAAUUAUUUCCAUUUGUCCCAGUGCUUGGAAAAUAUGUCUCCUCUUUACCUCCUGCUGGGUCCUGUCUCUGUCCAUUGCUCCUACAAUUUCUUCAGCCUAUGUUGUUGACUCACUGUGUGAUCUUGGAAUCAACUUGGGAAAUUCUGUCUCCUUCCUAACUAGCUGGAAAGGAGGGAAGGAUGUGAAAUUGUCAUUUUUUCAGCUUCACUUUGCCAUCCUUACUUUUAAUUACUAAAAAAAAAAAAGUAUUUGUCCAGGUCAUGAUUUAUUGCGGGAUCUGGCCAGCAGCCCACAAUGCAACAGGGUUCUCUCUUUGUUCCCAGGUGGAUCGGCAGGUUGAGAAAUAAUAGACACACACAAGAUAGUGAAAGCUGGGUCCAGGGGCGUCACCGCCUUCUGGUUCCGUGGUGCCACCAAAGCACUGAAUAUACCCGCAUUUAUUAUUAAGUUUAGUGAGGGCGGGGGUAGGUUAGUGAGGGAUUUAGGGUCAUUUGAUUAUGAGGUGAGAUGGUCACAUGGGGAUGAAGUAAUUCUUUAACAUACAUCUGUAUGCAGAAGUACAGUAUACAGAGAUAAGAAUUUACAAUAUAGUGUGUGCAUCAGUAAUUUCUAACAGAGCCUUAAAA
rnacentral:lncRNA from 1 species